AUUGAACGCUGGCGGCAUGCUUUACACAUGCAAGUCGAACGGUAUCAGGUUAAGCUGACGAGUGGCGAACGGGUGAGUAAUGCAUCGGAACGUGCCCGAUCGUGGGGGAUAACGCAGCGAAAGCUGCGCUAAUACCGCAUACGAUCUGAGGAUGAAAGCGGGGGACCGUAUGGCCUCGCGCGAUCGGAGCGGCCGAUGUCCGAUUAGGUAGUUGGUGGGGUAAAGGCUCACCAAGCCGACGAUCUGUAGCUGGUCUGAGAGGACGACCAGCCACACUGGGACUGAGACACGGCCCAGACGCCUACGGGAGGCAGCAGUGGGGAAUUUUGGACAAUGGGCGCAAGCCUGAUCCAGCAAUGCCGCGUGCAGGAAGAAGGCCUUCGGGUUGUAAACUGCUUUUGUACGGAGCGAAAAGGCUCUCUCUAAUACAGGGGGCUCAUGACGGUACCGUAAGAAUAAGCACCGGCUAACUACGUGCCAGCAGCCGCGGUAA
rnacentral:rRNA from 1 species